CAGAUACUCCCUCCGUUCUAAAUUACUUGUCUUGGAUCCGUAUCUAGACUCAUUUUAGUGCUAGAUACAUGCGUAUCUAGACAAAUCUAAGACAAGUAAUUCAGAACGGAGGGAGUACAUG
rfam:Triticum urartu cultivar G1812 contig1004050, whole genome shotgun sequence.